GACGAACGCUGGCGGCGUGCUUAACACAUGCAAGUCGAACGGGAAGGCCCUGCUUAUGUGGUGUGCUCGAAUGGCGAACGGGUGAGUAACACGUGAGUAACCUGCCCUUGACUUUGGGAUAACUUCAGGAAACUGGGGCUAAUAACGGAUAGGAGCUCCUGCUGCAUGGUGGGGGUUGGAAAGUUUAGGCGGUUGGGGAUGGACUCGCGGCUUAUCAGCUUGUGGGUGGGGUAGUGGCUUACCAAGGCUUUGACGGGUAGCCGGCCUGAGAGGGUGACCGGCCACAUGGGGACUGAGAUACGGCCCAGACUCCUACGGGAGGCAGCAGUGGGGAAUAUUGCACAAUGGGCGGAAGCCUGAUGCAGCAACGCCGCGUGCGGGAUGACGGCCUUCGGGUUGUAAACCGCUUUCGCCUGUGACGAAGCGUGAGUGACGGUGAUGGGUAAAGAAGCUCCGGCUAACUACGUG
rnacentral:rRNA from 1 species